rnacentral:piRNA from 1 species
UUCCUAGUUGGGACAACAGUUUAGGAAGAA